GCCACUGACCGCUCGGCGAGCCAGCGGGAGAGGAUUAGGGCUCCCGAGGCAACUUGCUCGGGGCUCAGGCCGUUCUCCCCCGAAGCUCGGGCUGCCGGGCUGUUCUGGCUCUGGCCUCCCUCUCCUCCUCUUCCUCUUCCUUCUGUCCCCUCCCGCGUUCCUUCCCGGCCGCGCCGCCUGCGCCCUCGCCUCCUGUGGCGCUGCUCCUCCGCCCUGCGCUCCUGGGGUCCCCGCAGUCCGGCUGGCCGCGUUGCGCGCGGGGCUCACUUUCUGCCGCCGGUGGCGAGUGGCUGGUGGGUAGGUCUACCUGUUGACGAGGUCCCUCCCGGGCUCUAGGAAAAGGGGGGAACUUGGAGCAGGCCGUUCAGCUUGGUUUGGUCCCCACGCCGUGGUGCACAUCCCCGGGGCCUGGCCUGCCUUGGCUGCUCCGGAGGGCUAGUUCCUCCAGAACUGGCUGCGCUCGGCGCGCUAGGGGAAGAAGAAUCGGGAAUGGGAUGAUUAAACCCAGAGGAACUGUUUCCUGACUGCUACACCAUUACUCCGUCUCCCCCAACCUCAGAUAUCUAAAAACGUUGGGUGGGAGGAAAGGGGCGCUUCUUGCUGUUGGGACAAUCAGGUUGGAACGCACCGGUAAACCGAAGUUGACUCCGCGGACUGACUUUUUGUCUUUCAGACCCGCGAGGUCUGCUUCUCAGUUUAACUCUAGAAUUGAAGCUCACUAACCCGAAGCCAAAGAGCGAAAUGAUCUUUCAGUAGUCUAAAGUUUGUAAGAUUUUUAUAUACUGUUCAAUUCUUCUCACUGCUGGUCUCCUGCCCUUUGUUUUUAAGCAAACUUGUGCAACUAGCUGUGGUAUUUUGGUAAUUAUAAGGACAAGUCUCCAUGACUUUGUGGAGAUUUUUUAAAAAUGCAUUAGUCUAAGGGCGCGAGUAGGGAGGGAUUUAUUACAGAACAGUGAAAGACCUAUUUCACGUCCCCAGGCGUUAAUAUAUAAUUUUCUCUCGAGAAACUACUUGGAGAGAGAAGACUGUUAGGUGCAACUCGCCGGUAACCUUCUUCAAUCAUUCUUACAUGUUCCCAUCAUCUGUUACGGUCUCCCAAAGACAGUCACAGGAAGGCCACGAAGAACCCCCGCGCUUCCCCCAAAGCUUCUAAAAAGCCAUUUCUUAUCUAAUGGGGCUGCCAGUUUUAUCUAAAAAGUCCUACAGACACAAACCAUAGAAGGCUUAAUUUCGGUGUCUUGUUGCUGUGAGAAGACCCGGUGUGUUAGGAAACUCCUUUCUUUAUAUCUUUCGCAAAAUCUAACCCUUGAUAAGAGCUGUAAAUCCUGGCCGGCCGCAUUGGCUGGGCUUGAACGGGUAAUGCCUCUCCAAAGCGGAAAGGGAAUCAAAGAUGCGUAAGUUUCCUCCUGACCUAGCUGAGGCUUUCUUCCCCAGGAACUAGUUUUGAUUUGUUUUUUCUCAAGGAGGAUUUCAAAUUGGAUCUGUCUUCCCUUCCAUUUUUAUUAUAAGUUGUUUUAGAGCGCGUGUAUGAAAGCGAAAGUUGGAUAGACCUAGGUUGAUAAGUUUACCAGUUGUGUGGUGUGUGUUUUUUUUUUUUUUUUUUUUUGGUCUGUUUCUAGUCUCUGGUAUUAGAUGUAUGGAGCCUUUUGUCAGGCUGCUUUUGCAAAGCUGAUGCUGUUAAUCUCAAUACGAAGCAAAUCUUCCUAGUAUUUGUGUGUGUUUCCCAUAGAGAUAAACAUGUUGACCCUAGUAAAAAAAAAAAAAAAAAAAGAUACCACCACAAUGCCAGAAAAUAGAGUUUUACCUAGUCAUAUUCCAUCAUGCCACUUUUAUAAGAUGGAAUUAAACACCAGAAGCCACCAGAAGCCUGAUGACUUACAUUUGAGAUCCACAAAGCACCCUCACUAUCCAUCCUCCUUCAAACCAGCCCCCACCUCCCACCCACAGUGUGGUAUUUUAACUCCCUAAACCAAUAAGCUAUUACAAAGAAUUAUUGCAGAUGAUAGCACUUCCAAGUAGAAAAGCUUGCAUGCGGCUUGGGGGAAACCUUUAGUAAUAGACAAUUUCACCUUAAUGGUGAAGACAACAUUUUCCUCUUUUCAUUCUGCACCAUUGUUGUAAACAAGUAUUUUCUUAAUAAGUUCCUAAACUGAUAGAAGCAAGACGCAUGGUGAAGAUACCAGCAUUAAAAGGAGACGUUUGAGGGACCCCACCAUGAUGGACAUGCUCUGAAGUUCAGUGCAUGUAUCAUGACACAUUUUGCAUUAAAAUCCAAGUUAGAAUAGCAGGCUUUGUAGUUUUACUUUACCUUGAAGUUCUAAAUUGAUCAUGGAUUAUUAUGAUUUCCUCAGCUGAUUGCUGUAUGUGGAUUUAGUGCAUCAAAUAUAUCUGUAAAAUUUUGUAUACAUAAAACUGAUGAGCAAUUUAUCCGUAAUACUUGAUCACAGGAGCGACCUCUUGUGUUCAAAGCGGGGAUUAGACCCUCUCCUCUCAAAAAAGGACUCGUUUUGACCUUUGUAUAUUGUUAGGUCAAAAAUAUAUCCUUGAAAACGGCAAUAGUGUGAAUCUCUGGUUUGAUUCCUUUACUGAGAAAAUGAGGAGUAUGAGUAGUUAUUAAGUGUAGUCCCCAUCACCUCCAGGCUGCCUCAAUAUAUCUGACAGUGUCUUUCAAUAUAAAAGGGAUACUGAAAUUUAAGUUCCUCUGGAGUCUGUGGCAUCUGCCCAUGUGCCCUUGUAUACACCUUCCAAAAUGUGGCUGUUACACCCAACCUCCUGAUGGGCUCUUAGACUUGUGUUUUUGUGUACUGUUGCUUUCUCUGCUUUAGUUACCAUUUAAACAUUCCACAUCAAACUUAAUGUCAGAUACAGAUUCCUGCACAAACAUCAUGCUCUCAAGCUACAUUUCAAAAAUCUAAAUAGGUUUUAAUUGCAAUUGAAAGGUAAAAUUACACAUUUAGCAUUUAUUUAUCUCCCAAUAACCUCUGGCAGAUAUAAAUGAAUUUUAAGUUGUUUCUUUGGGAAAUCACAAACAGUAAGACAGCUUAUUCCUUCUCAUCUAACCAAGACUGGGAAGGGAAGAGGGGCUUUGAUCAGCUUUCCAAUGGAGGUAUAAAUUUGAGAAUUUAUUCCCAGGGAGAUGAUGCUAUAUGUUUAGCUCACAUCAGAAUCAGGUUUGAAAGAGUAGAAUAAGUUACACUGCCAGUUUUACUGAGUAAGGUAUUCAGAUGAAAAAAUAUGUAUAACUGAAGGAUUUAUAUUUUCUGAUGUCCACAUCAUAUAAUUUGGGGGCCAAAAUGAAACAGGAAGAUUUUAUUUACCUCUAAAAAUGGAUAUUGAGUAGAUGCGUAUGUAUCCCCUUUCCCGUUUUUAUCUUUUCUGUGUAGUCUCUAAUGAUGUAGAAUAAGGCUAUAUAAAUCCUCAGUAUCUUUAAUCAUGUCCAAGGGUCAGAUAAAAUUAUGUGCGUUUAAAGGGAGUUACGAUUAACCAUUUAUAUUCCACCGCGAACGGGGUGUGGGUGUUUAGAACCAAUUUGCGUCUCUUCCCGUUGGUGGUGGUGGCUUAUUGAGGAACAAUCAGGAGAAUCUGUGCUCUAAUUUCAGAGAAAAGGAAGAGAUACCAGUGGGUAUGAAAUGAUUCUCUUUUUCUUUCCUUUUACUUAAAAAAAUACUAAGCAAUGAUAAUAAAGGCAGUUGUUAACAACAACAAACCUUUAGUUGUGAUUCUUAUUCUGAUGCCUAGGACUCCUGCUGCGAUUGUGGUUUUGUUGAGUGUCAAUUGCUUUAUUAACCAGAUAAAACAGUCUGGGUGAAUUAGCAAGAAUUUUCUCUGCACGCAGAGCUUCCUAGCCUUACUUUCUGAGUUCAGGUAGUUGUUUCUGACACCAGCUUUCCUGGUAUUUCUUGGCAGACGACAGGCCAGAAGGCACCGUUCUUGUGCGGUCUGUUGCUCGGUUCUCAGCCGAGAUAGAAUUUCAUGCUCCCGGCAUCGGGGCAGCUGCGAAACCACAAACCUCAGUUCAGUCCUGAGCAUGCGAAGGUCCGCAGUUGAUUGCAGGGAGGCGUUCGGCCAAGCGAGGACGGAAAUUUGUAUUCUCCCUUUAAAAUUGUGCUUCUGAAAGUAUUUACUAUGACUUAUCAAAAGCGGCUGGCAGUGUCAAGUGAAACCUUUUUCUUGCUUCCCCCUGCCCCCUAGAACUCCUAAGUGACCAGGAACAGACGAUUUUUAACCGAGUUCUGCUGCGUGGAGCCCAGGUUGGCGCUAGUGAGUGCAGUGUGCUGACCCAAGUGGUGGUGGCCCAAGGACGCGCUGACCCGUACAUUUGGCAAAGCUUUCAUUAAAUGUAUCAGAUUCUCGCGGAAGUGGUUGCAGUCCGGAGAGUGAAACAGCUAUCUCUCAAGUCCUGACCGGUUCAGCUGAAAUCUACAUUUGCACUGAAUCUGGCAAAACACGGACGGGUCCGCCCGAGAUCUCAGGAAACCCAGAGCAAGUUACCUCCAUGUAGUUGAUCAUUCUUUCUGAAAGGACGGACACCAUUUACCCCACUGCAAUCCUGUCCAACGGGCAGCUCUGAGUUUAGCUUUAGCGCCAAAGGAUUGAUUUCCCCCACCCGCUGGAGAUUUACUGGGGACGAGCGGGGGAGGGGAGGCGAAGGUACCUCGGAGGAGGUCAAGUGGGGGAGGAGGAGGAGCAGCAGAAAAUUACCAGCCAAGCAGGGGAGGGAGUUGGAAGCCCGGAAAUAUACCAGGAUGCCUCAAGUAACCUUCCUUUAAGUCUCAGAAUUCAGCCCUCGGAAAACAGCCUCAUAAGGUGUCCUGGGAAGGAGUCCUCGGGUGGGCUGCGGAGGUGAUGUCAAGAGUUACAGCUACUUUAUGAAUUAAACUGACGGCUAAGGCAUGUCGGGACAGUUUAGUGUAAGCUGAAUGGUGCGUGGACGGGGCAACUUUUAAAGAGAGGUGGGCAAUCAUUGGUGGCAUCUACCAGUAUAUUCUGCAUGUAACAGUAGUUUGGAAGCUGAAGAAAAACCCCUCAAAUCCCAGUAAAUGCCCGGUCAGUUCGAGAGAGAUUUUAGGGACAAUUUUGAAGGUCGCUGUCUGCUCCAACUCCGCAGAGAUGAACAAGAGUGUGAACUCUGGCGCGGGUGUGUUUAGAAUUAUCUACGACUUCAGAUCCAUGCUGUUGAAACUCAUCAAUUCUUUGUGACUUCACGUGGAGAGAAGAAUUUGCCCUGCCUCCCUACCUGCUAAAUGCCGACUGAGAAAAGGGGCCCAGGAGACGACCCCUUUCAGAAAGAACGUCACUUCAUCAACUCGGCUGAGUUAUUAACUUGCUCCCCGAAAGGUCAACAACGCCUUCUCUUCUCAGCCGCACCGCGCGGAGAUCAAUCGCUUUACCCUAGGUAGCCUCUUGUUCAGGGCUCAGGAACUCCUGUCUUAAGGUCCUUCUGGGGCUCAGAAGCUGUGUUGUGUAUGUUCUUUCCAAGAAUCCCACCUGUCUGCUUUCAAGCACACACGGCGCUAGAAAUUUAGCCUAGCCUGAGUCCUGGGAUGAGAGAAGAGCUAAACAAAGAGACCCCAACCGUCCCCUUGGCCCCCUGCCCCGCCGUUUUGCAGUUUGCCAACCUUCUAGCUAGACAGCCCCCUAAGUCUCCGUGUUGCGAGUGAAAGAGAAUUUUUCUAUUUCAUCUUCCCAUUGACCGAAGCAGAAAAAUUGAACCGAAUCUACGCCCCUUGUUCUGAUUCCUGCUAGAGGAAAACAGAAAAUCAUCCCGCAGGUCUCUUUCAGUCCCUGGAUGGCGAGCGCAGCCCCUGGGAGGCCACACUUAGUUCUUUAUUGUGAAUCUCUCGCUACUCAAGUUCGUUCGGGACCAGGGCCUCGGAUGGCCUCGGUUGCCCGUAAGUACGCGAAAGAAGAGGUGAAUCCAAUCGCUGGCCUAGAGGAUAGUGAUCAGACAACCCGAGGAUUACUAAACAAGGGGCGGCGGUGUCCCUGUCUCAUGGGGUUGGCGUGGGGCGGGGGGUAGGCAGCAAGAUCCUCCAGGCUCCUGGAUGCAAAGAGUGAGAAAGAAAGCGCAGCCUCUGGCAGCCUGCUUAUAAAUGCAGCCUUUCGGAAGAUGAAACUUGCAGUCUUAGGUUGUCCUCCUUUAUAUCCAUGUUCCAAUCCUCUGGGCUUUCCUCGAAAUGAAUAAAAUUGUGGAAAUGAAUGAAUGAGAAUAUCACUUUAAUUGUUUCAAACUCAUUGUCAAGUCACCUUUUCUGCCAUCUGCCAGAGGUUCAAUUUGCGCUUCGUGUCUACAUUCCAGAAAAUUGUAAGGACGUUUCCUCUGCAUCUGUCUGCCUUGUUGGCAGCGUGCGGAAACGAUAACUGCACAGUUAUUGGUACAGAAUAUUUUCAUGACUAGCUUAAUUCUAAAUAUCACCCCAAAAUACAGAUACCUUACUUCUUAGUUGGCAUUAUUCAAGUUUAUUCACUUUGUGCUGCAAAUGUUUGAAUUAGAAAACAGGAGAGAACUCCCGCAGCAGAGAUGCACUUCUCUGCUCUCCUGUCAGUCACAGAACCCACACUGGGUGAUUAGCCAGAGGGGCGGGCUCCUUUGUUGACUUAAGAGUUCACCAGGCAAGAUGGAACAAUUAUCUUGUUGCCUCUUCUUAACUGUCUAUUGUUGACUUACUUCUAGUAUGCUUCCAUUGUACAAAAUUCUAUCCAAAAUUGAAGAAUAAAUCGUAAGUUAAAAAGGUAAUAAUGAUAAUAGGUCUACUUUAAUUUUACCUGGCUUUGUUAAUAGAUAGUCUAUACCUGACAGUCAUAUACAUAAGAGAUGUCGAAAGUAUAUAGCAUAUCAUUUAUGUAUAAUUAUAUAUGUUAUAAUUAUAUGCUAAUGAUACCAUCAUUUAACGUUACAAGGUAAUUCUAUAGAAAACUUGAAGUUCUAUUUUUGAUAUAUAUAACACCCUCUUUACAAGAAAAUAAUUGUCAGGCUUAAAAAUGAUAUUCAAGGGUGCUUUUAUCAAGAGAACAAAAUCUGAAGCUUCAUGAACUAAAAUCCUAUCAAGCAAGGUGGUCCAUAACUAGGUUGCUUUGGGUUAAUGAUAACUUAAAAUACUCUUGUUUUUGUAACUUUUUGUGCACAAAGUGCACAUUUUACAGUUGUGCAUGUCAAUGUGUGUUUUACCACUUAUUAUUCUGAAACCUUCAGUCACAUCAUUUCAGCAGGAAAUAAAACCUGAAUAAGUCCUAGGCAAUGUGUAAGGAAUAAGUAUGGUUUAACUUUUGUAGCUUAACAAUAUUGUGCUGAUCUUUAAAUGCAAAUAUUAAUAUAUUGAAAUUAAUAUAAGUAGAUAAUUUCAUCACCUCCUAAUUUAUAAAAAAUGGAAAAGCAAAUAUAACAAGCUGCUUUACUUUCUAUAAUGUCUAUUUAAGGACCUAUUACCAAAAUAUAGUAAUAAUAGGAUUCAUGUAUGUGUAACACAUAUGUAGCUAUCACUCUAUUAUUGGAGAGUUCAGUCUAGUUAUAAACACACUGAACUAUCAUAUGAUGUGUGCCAUUACUUGAAUGUUGCUAAAUUGAUGCUAUGCUAUAUUUUAAGACUCUCCCUCCUCUUUCCAGAUACAUGUACUAGCCCAGGAAGAUCCCUGCAUCUUGAACAGUAAUGCUGAAUCGGAAACUAUGUCGUUACCCAUAAGUAGAAUCCUCCUGACUUUCACUUAAAUAUCAGGACCCAAAUUAUUUUAUGUCUCACUUCAGAACAUAGCACAAUGUGCUAUUUUAUCUUCUUGGCCCAGUCUUUAGAUUUAUUCUAUACUCUCCGUGUUACAAGCUGCACAAACCAUUGGUGACAAUGAGAACCACUCUAUAUAGUUUUACUGACUUUGGAUUCUCAUAUAAUGUAUGAACAAAUAUAAGCCAUAUCUUUUAGGUCUUGACGAUGUGUUUCUUCCAAUUCUGAAGUGUUCGUAUAGUUGUCCCUAAUGUCACGUGAUACGUCUCUUCGUUGUCCUAUACCCGAGCCAUAGCAGAUCUGAUGUGACUUUGGAUAUACCAUGUGAGGGCAAGCAUUUUCUUUUAGGCUAGGCCAUCAAUGAGGAAGAAACAUGAGUAGAGCUCUUAAAGCAGAGGAAAAUGUAAGUGGAUGGAAAAAAAUCACACUUUUGAAUAUAGUAUUGGAGAAAGAAUUGAGUGUGGGUGACUUUAUUAGCUAGCAGAAGAAAGAGUGAAAAUAGGUGCUUGGCUAAGAUGAGAAAAGUAUUCAAUUUUGAAAACAGAAAGAGAAAGCUUAUUUAGAAAAAGAAAACAUGGAGUAAAUGUCAAGAGGAACAUAAAGAAAUAGGGCGUGGUGACCCAGUUCAUUCUGAUAGAAUAGGCGUUUAAGGGCAAAACCCAGAUCCGAAAUAGGUAGUGGAUGGAACUAGGGAACAGUAGAUUCAUAAUUAUUUUAACUUGGCAUUUAAAACUUUAAAAUCUGAGUUGAGGGGUUUUUUUUAAUGGUAGAAAAGCAGCUUAUUUGGCAAUAAUUUUAAAAACUUCUGUCGCAUCUUUAAUCAUACUAGACUGUUCACCUUUGUAAACUCCUCACUAUCAGUAAACUGUCAGUACACUGUCAGUACAGAAAAUACAAACUAAAAGUACUAGAAAUAUCACAAUACGGAUUUCUCUUUUUAAUGUAACUAGGUUUAUCUAACAAUAAGAUUCAGGAUUCAGAAAAGAAAAAAGACCAGAUCUGAGAAGGAAUUUUAAAAAAUGGUUUCAAAGUUUUCCAGAGUUUUGUUAGCCAUUGCCCUUUCUGCAGACGUGGUUAUAUCAGAAAGUGUAAUUCAAGUAUUUGCACUGCUUACUUAAACCACAAUAAAAAGGGAAAGAUGUUGUGAAAACACUGCCUCAUGCUCAAAUUUAUGCAAAACAACUUGAAAGGCUGCCAGCAACACUGUUGUUAUGUUAGCAGUUCUGAUCUGGCUUCACAUUCUCCUAGAGGAGUUCUUCUGAUGUGAGAAGAAUGUAAACCCAAACCACAAGGGAGUAUUCAUUGUACCUAUGCACUUGGGAAGAGUUUGGGUGCCCAAAAUGUCAGAAAAAUCAGAUACAGUUGUUCUCUUAGAAUCUAUUCUGGAGGUCACAAGGUCAGAAUGCCUGCACAUGUGCAUAAACCAACAUGCCCAUAAAAGCCUGAUAGGAGGCAGCAGUGCCCCAUAAAAGGUCACACCCAGCCAGAAUCCAGCAACGUUGGAACAGCGUCUGUUAUGGAGAAGAAAUAUGUGUCUGACAGCAGCAACAGCAGCAGCAGAGAAAGAUGGAUUGGGGAUUAAUCAUGGUAAGAUACUGAGCAAAAGAGACAACAAAUUCUGCCAAGCAUGAAUCCUUCUCUACUCACAGGUUUCACAAAAUACACUCUUCAAAGUACAAGCUGGUUGGCCAAGGUCAGGUUGAUCUUUGCUAGGCUAAAGAAGCAGCUGCGGAGUGUUUCCCACGGCAGAUGGAGAACACCUAAGGAUUUUUUACUGUUAAAAAAAUAAUAAUUUGUGUUUCAACAGUAGAAAUACUCCUGAUAACACACGUGAUCAAAAUUGCAUUCCCCCUCAGUUCUCAUGACAUUCACUUUGGGGUAAUACCAUUUAAAAAAUAUUAUUGGUAGCUGUUAGCCUGUGGCUUUCCAGGACCUUACUUUUAAUGUAUUUCCCUUGUCUUUCUAGAUUUAACAUAUUGCCUCAUUUCAUAAUCUCCCUUCAUUGAGAUCAUUUGUAUAAGCAAAACAUGUUACAUGACAGUCUUUGGAAGACUGAAUAGGCGCCACUAAAUUGUGCAGUUUAGAGGGCUCUAGGCAAGGCCACCCAGACUGAAAUGGUAGCCCCUCUAUAUCUGUCAAAGCAUCUCAAAUAACUCUAAGAAAGAUUUACUACUUUGACAAUCAUAAAGACUCUUUAGUUUUCAGGAGGUUUUGUUUAGUUUUGUUGGUUGGUUAUUUAAUGCCAAAGCUUUCUGUAAUUGAUUUUUCCUGCUUCUUUACCCAUUUGUACCAUUAUGAAGAUUUCUAUAAUAAGCAUGCCAAUAAUAAGAAAAAAGAAGGAAAGAAGGAGUUGAAAAGGAAAUAAAGAUGAUAAACCUAAAAAUAAAUGAUACACAAUGGAAUACUAUUCAGCAAUUGAAAGAACAACUGAUACAUACUUUAACAUGGGUGGGUGAGUCUCAAUAUGCUGAGUAAAAGAAGCCAGAACAAAAAUGGACACUCUAUAAUUCUACUUAUGUAAAACUCUAGGAUAUACAAACUAGUGUUUGACAAACUGAUAGUGAAAGAAAUCAGAUGAGUGGUGACUGUGGGAUGGAGUAGGCGAAGGGUAGAUGGGAAAGGCAGAGAUUAAAAAGGGACUAGAGGAAAUUUUUGGAAGUGAUAGACAUAUUCCUUAAUUUAUAUUCCUUAUUUUUAUUGUGGUAGUUUAAUGGGGGUAUGCUGUGGCAAAGCUUACCAAAUUAUAUAUUUUAAAUAUGGGCAGUUCAUUGUGUAUCAUUUAUACCUCAAUAAAGCUAUUAAAAAUAGAAAAGAAACUGCAUUGUGUUGUCCUGUUCUUUGUUAUUGUUAUUAGUAGUAGUAUUACAUAAUUUUUACAAUAAAGGGGAAAGGGCAAAUACGCAGCACUGUAUUUAUGAAAUAAGGUACUUGAAGGGAGAAAAAAAGGAGUUUAGCUCAGCCUAAUUGGUGUUUGGUCAGUGGGUACUGGGGAAUACCAAUCUGAAUUUUCUAUUGCCUAAUACUACAAUUUCAAGCACUUUCCCAUCUUGUAAUACUACUCUUCAGGAUCCCAAGAUAGGCUUCCCAGAAAACAUCUCUAUAUUUUGCUUUCCCCAAAGUCAAAUUAAUUCUGUAAUUCCUAGCACUCUGUAUUAUUUUUUUCAACACAUCACUUUAUAAUUUGUUUACAUAUAGGGUUUGCCACCAUCUUCCAAGACUCAAAAAAAAAAAAAAAGUUUUUGAGGAGAGAGUCCAUAUCUGGACCAUUACUGUGAACUAUUGUCUCUACAAAUUUUCGGUGAAUUAUCAAAUGGUCUCCCAGCCAGAUAGCUGGGCUCCUGCUGCCUUUGGCUGAACUUCCUCAGACAUCAACUGCUGGUUCACCCAAAUGCUUGCCUGAACAAAGACACCAUUUCCUGGGUACCCUGUUCUCUUGGCCCACGGGACCCUGGAGUCAGCCUGAUCCAUAUCUGAGUUCUUCAUACCCAUUGGGCACUCCCUCUGAGACUUGGCUGCACCCCAAGUCUUUCCAGACAGGUUUGCCACCUUCUCUUUCUGGCCCUUGUGAAUGAGGCUCCAGCAUGUCCAUAUCCCACUCCUUUUUCCUCAUAAACUUAAUUUGCUAUGAGCUGACUUCAAUAUCUGAUUUUCAAGUAGUCAUAUCAGCUCUAUGGUAAAUCAAUCAGCCACAGACAGACUUUUCUGUGAGGCAGAGGGAAGGAAGAAGGGAAAUGAUUUAACUGGGAUGUGUUUAAAUACAAGAUUUAUUUCUUUUCAUGUUUUGGAUUUGGGGUUUAAACAUCACUGAUCAGGGAAAAGAUCAGUCAGUUUCUUUGUGGAUCAUAUUUGUGAGUCUUUCCACAGGGCAGGACAUGUACCCAGUGAGGGAGCAAAUAGCUUCAUUAAGGACAGGGAUGGGUAUGAAGCAUUUAGGGUCAGAGGAGAUGGAGCUAGAUUAAGAGCAUUAGUAUUGACUAGAAUUCUUUCUUUAUACUCUGAUCAGAGGCACACAGCUGACAUGUCUUGUAAUAUAUUUCUGUGUUUGCUAGAAGCAUUCUGCUUUGA
rnacentral:lncRNA from 1 species